AAAAUGUUAUCUUAAGUUUAAAGUAUUAGAUUUUUAAUCUAAAGAUGUUUCACAUUUUAA
rnacentral:tRNA from 1 species